GAGAUUCCCCCAGUAGCGGCGAGCGAACGGGGAGCAGCCCAGAGCCUGAAUCAGUAUGUGUGUUAGUGGAAGCGUCUGGAAAGGCGCGCGAUACAGGGUGACAGCCCCGUACACAAAAAUGCACAUGCUGUGAGCUCGAUGAGUAGGGCGGGACACGUGGUAUCCUGUCUGAAUAUGGGGGGACCAUCCUCCAAGGCUAAAUACUCCUGACUGACCGAUAGUGAACCAGUACCGUGAGGGAAAGGCGAAAAGAACCCCGGCGAGGGGAGUGAAAAAGAACCUGAAACCGUGUACGUACAAGCAGUGGGAGCACGCUUAGGCGUGUGACUGCGUACCUUUUGUAUAAUGGGUCAGCGACUUAUAUUCUGUAGCAAGGUUAACCGAAUAGGGGAGCCGAAGGGAAACCGAGUCUUAACUGGGCGUUAAGUUGCAGGGUAUAGACCCGAAACCCGGUGAUCUAGCCAUGGGCAGGUUGAAGGUUGGGUAACACUAACUGGAGGACCGAACCGACUAAUGUUGAAAAAUUAGCGGAUGACUUGUGGCUGGGGGUGAAAGGCCAAUCAAACCGGGAGAUAGCUGGUUCUCCCCGAAAGCUAUUUAGGUAGCGCCUCGUGAAUUCAUCUCCGGGGGUAGAGCACUGUUUCGGCAAGGGGGUCAUCCCGACUUACCAACCCGAUGCAAACUGCGAAUACCGGAGAAUGUUAUCACGGGAGACACACGGCGGGUGCUAACGUCCGUCGUGAAGAGGGAAACAACCCAGACCGCCAGCUAAGGUCCCAAAGUCAUGGUUAAGUGGGAAACGAUGUGGGAAGGCCCAGACAGCCAGGAUGUUGGCUUAGAAGCAGCCAUCAUUUAAAGAAAGCGUAAUAGCUCACUGGUCGAGUCGGCCUGCGCGGAAGAUGUAACGGGGCUAAACCAUGCACCGAAGCUGCGGCAGCGACGCUGAUGCGUUGUUGGGUAGGGGAGCGUUCUGUAAGCCUGCGAAGGUGUGCUGUGAGGCAUGCUGGAGGUAUCAGAAGUGCGAAUGCUGACAUAAGUAACGAUAAAGCGGGUGAAAAGCCCGCUCGCCGGAAGACCAAGGGUUCCUGUCCAACGUUAAUCGGGGCAGGGUGAGUCGACCCCUAAGGCGAGGCCGAAAGGCGUAGUCGAUGGGAAACAGGUUAAUAUUCCUGUACUUGGUGUUACUGCGAAGGGGGGACGGAGAAGGCUAUGUUGGCCGGGCGACGGUUGUCCCGGUUUAAGCGUGUAGGCUGGUUUUCCAGGCAAAUCCGGAAAAUCAAGGCUGAGGCGUGAUGACGAGGCACUGCGGUGCUGAAGCAACAAAUGCCCUGCUUCCAGGAAAAGCCUCUAAGCAUCAGGUAACAUCAAAUCGUACCCCAAACCGACACAGGUGGUCAGGUAGAGAAUACCAAGGCGCUUGAGAGAACUCGGGUGAAGGAACUAGGCAAAAUGGUGCCGUAACUUCGGGAGAAGGCACGCUGAUAUGUAGGUGAAGUCCCUCGCGGAUGGAGCUGAAAUCAGUCGAAGAUACCAGCUGGCUGCAACUGUUUAUUAAAAACACAGCACUGUGCAAACACGAAAGUGGACGUAUACGGUGUGACGCCUGCCCGGUGCCGGAAGGUUAAUUGAUGGGGU
rnacentral:rRNA from 1 species